rnacentral:rRNA from 1 species
AUAGCGUAUAUUAAAGUUGUUGCAGUUAAAAAGCUCGUAGUUGAACCUUGGGCCUGGCUGGCCGGUCCGCCUCACCGCGUGUACUGGUCCGGCCGGGCCUUUCCUCCUGGGGAGCCGCAUGCCCUUCACUGGGCGUGUCGGGGAACCAGGACUUUUACUUUGAAAAAAUUAGAGUGUUCAAAGCAGGCCUUUGCUCGAAUACAUUAGCAUGGAAUAAUAGAAUAGGACGUGUGGUUCUAUUUUGUUGGUUUCUAGAACCGCCGUAAUGAUUAAUAGGGAUAGUCGGGGGCAUCCGUAUUCAAUUGUCAGAGGUGAAAUUCUUGGAUUUAUUGAAGACGAACUACUG